UGACCGCAUAGAGGAAAAAGAAUGGGGAAAGCAGGGGUGGGGAAACAAACAGAAAUAGAGUGUGGAUAGAUAGAGAAACAAAAAGAACUGGGGGCUAAAAAAAGGAGAAGAUAGAGAGAGCACGAGAGAUAUAGAGGGGAUCGAUUUCAGGAAACAGAGAAAAAGGAAAAGCCGACCACCCUUCUUGAUCUCCAUCGCCGACGAGUAGCCGAAAAAAUACCGGCAACUAUGGCCAGCCCCGCUGCUCACCCCCUCCUCUCACUGCUCUUUUCUUUUGUUUUUGUUUUCUCGCACACUUCUCGCUUUUAGCAGCCAUCGCCGCUGCUGGAGCUGACCACCAGUUUGCUGACGAGCAUUUCCCUUCGUCACUCCACUGUUUCCCUCUCGUCCUAACCCUCACUGUUUUAGCCAUAGAAACCAGCCUCAGACCACUAGUAAAACCAGUCCAAUGAAGCUCCAAAUUCAGCUGAAAAACAGCUCAAAAAUAACCCUCUUUCCUCACAAAACAACAACGUUUUGGUCGGGUUCGAGUUGAAUUUUCCGACGAGCUUUUCCCGGCGAGUUUCGAGGUUCCGACAUGGUCUAUUGUUAGCGGGUCUGUUCGUUGUUAGCUUCUUCAACGUGCCUUUCUUUGUAUACUUUGAAAGCUAAUAAAAGAUGUGAUCGGAGAAAUCGUCGGUUUUAGUGAGGUACACACGCACAAACAAGGUGGAAUUUCUAGGAAGUUUAUGGAUAUUGAGCUAGAAGAUGAUGAGAGGAAGAAGUUGUCUGCUACAUUCUGGGGCGAGUUUGUUGAUGAAAUUGUACCUCACCUGCUAAUUUCUAACAGCCAGCUUAUUAUUAUUGUGAUGCAGCUCAUAAAAGCCCAUAAAUUUCAAGCGGUGAUUCAUGGAAGCUGUAUAGAAUUUGUCUUUACUUGCAUCUAUGUUCAAUCACUGCACUCUUUGGCUGGGGUAUAAAAGUUGUUAAUCCAAAAGGAAAAAGUAAUCUAACAGGGAAAAUGCUUCAAGAGGUAAUUUUGAAUCGAGCAAUGUCAUUGUAUAGCCUUCAAUUUUAUAUUUUUAUGAAACUUUGAUAGUGAAAAUUCUGAUAAGAAAAAAUAAUUAGAGGUGAAUAUUUAUUUGAAGUUUCUAUUUGUUCUGCUCAUUGUAUAUUAUUGGUUUGAGAUGAGUUUAUAUGGUUAGUGAGGACACAUAUAAUUAACUUCAACUUGCUUGGAAUUGAGACAUAGUAGUUGUUGUAUGAGUUCUUCAUCCUCAAUUCUUCUUUUUAAGCCUCUCAUCUCUUUUUACCUACCUUUUGUUUUUUAUCUUCCAGAAAAAUGGAUUAAUUCUUACCUUAAUUUUUGUUUUCAAUUUGUUUAAGAACAUAUAUCUUUAUAUUACAUUUUCGAUUUUACUCAACUAGAUUAUGUUUCAUCUUUUUCCCUCGACAGUUCUGCAAAAUUAAAAAUAACUUUGUGGGAAGAAUUUAGAGAAAAGUUUAACCUUAUCUAUACGAUGGCUCUGGCCCUUACAUUGUCAUAUUCAUUAAUACAACAGUUAAAGAAUUCUGUGGCAAUUGGUUUAUAUUUACUGAUCAUUGCUACGUAUUUUACUACUUAUGUACUGAAUAUAUACUAAAGUUUGGUUUUUAUUGCAUUCACUGUUAAUAGGUGAGUUUACUUUCACCACCACAUCUGCAAUCAAAAUAUAUGUAAUUCUUCAAAUAGAUUACAUAUCAUCGUUGAUUCAAAAGUUUGAAUUAAUAUCUGUUCGGGUACUAAAUAUCAAAAUCCUUAAUGUCAAGAGUAUUCCCAUUGAGGAAGAGAUGUUUCUCAAUAGGAUGAUCACUAAUGUGUUGUUGGAGUCUGACGGGAGUGCCGAAAUACAAGUGAAUUCAGUAUGGCUUCAAUUUAAGGCUUAUAAAAAUGGUGCACAAUUUUCAAACUUUAUUAACAUGAAUUUUACUUCACGUCAUUCUGUCGGGAAGAAGUUCAAAAUAUCGCGUAUGUUAUAUUAUAGCACUUACUCCAAUCAGUUAGUUGUUUCCUUUUUUUUUAAUGCUUGCCGUUCUUCCAUACAGUAUCAAUCCCUUUUGGCCAUAGGCUAUCAGUACAGGAAAAAUUAAAUUCAUAAUCUAAUGCAAGUCUCUAGCCAGAAACCAAGUUGUCUUUGCCUAUUGCUCAGUCAAACUAACCUCAUCUCUCUUCCUAUAAACUCCAGAUUAGCACUUAAGUUGCCACUUCUUUGCGGCAUGCAUGUUGACAUCUCUACAUGUUCAGGACUACCUCCUACGUCAACAACAACAGAAGUUUCCUUUGGAAUAAAAAAGAAUUCAAUUGUUGCUGAUUGCUCAAUGAAGGAGGCAUUUGAUGUUCUCGAAGUUAUCUCGUGCAAGGCUACCAACAUGAAGCAUAGCCUGUUUGAAAUCAUCGACUCAUGAUAAGGUAUUUGAAUCUGCUAGCCCAAAAGUGAAGAUCAACCCCAUGAAGUCAAGUAAUUUGUGAAUACCAAUACUUUUUAUUUUUGAGGUGUGAAACAAAUCAUCGAUAACAGUUGUGAUAAGGUUCAUAUUAAUCGACUAAUUUUGGUGCACUCAAUUGAACUAUUUUUCUAUUA